CGCAGUGGUUAUUUCCAGAAUUUUAAAGGUUGUCAUUUUCAAACUCUGGCCCUGGAUGGAUGACAAGUCUAUAUUGUGGUCUGUCACCUCCAUAUCAGAGUCCUACAGAACCAUGGACCAGUUCUCUGGGGACGGCUGCACUUCCUGGAGAUCAUGCUGCCCAGAUUGCACAUGGUGGUCAGCAGCUCUGCUUAUAUGGGCAGAGCUGGGCCUGCUGGACAAAUGCCCUCCAGGGCCUGCAUCAGUAAAGCCACACAUUGUGAUACCGAGACUCUCUUUUUCAUCCUACUUCUGGGGCUCUGCAGUAGUUGAACACAUUUUGUGUUUUUCAAGUUCUUUCUAUGAUGCAGAAUUAAGAGAAGAUUAUGAAAAAUCAUAUUAUUCAAUAUAUUUAACAUCAUAUUAACAUUUUAAGGUCCUGGAUUUUUGUUCUCUAGUGGAUAUUGGUCAUGUGUCUGAUGAUCAGGCAUGUUUUGAACAUUUUUUAGAGGACAUUAUCUGUACUGUAUUGUCUGUAGAAGCUGGGGCCCCCACUCAGCCUUCCUAUUUGCUGGCUACCUGGCCCUGCUUCUGCCAAUCAGAUAAUGGUGUGCAGCUGGGAACAGAGAAGUGGAGGGAGGGGAAAGGGAAGAAGAAUGAAGAUGUGUGGACAUGGACCAAAUCCCCAAGAUGAAUGUCAUCGUUAUGUACUGCAAACAUGUACCAAUAAAAAUAAAUAAAAACUUCUUUUCCUUAGUGAGAUGUUUUCAGAGAUGGGAAUAAAAAACCCAGCAGUUAGUG
rnacentral:lncRNA from 1 species